UUUGGUUAGGAUUUUUUAGGAUUAGUUUAGGAUUUUACUAGGAUUUGUUUAGGAUUUGACUAGGAUUUGGUUAGGAUUUGUUUAGAAUUUGUUUAGGAUUUGGUUAGGAUUUGGCUAAGAUUUGUUUAGGAUUUGGUUAAGAUUUAUUUAAGAUUUAAGUAGGAUUUAAUUAGGAUUGUUUCAAAUUUGACUAGAGUUUAUUUAGGAUUUGACUAGAAUUUUAUUAGAAUUUAAUUAUGGUUUCUAUUUUAAUAUUUUAUUAAGAUUUAUAUUU
rnacentral:lncRNA from 1 species